rnacentral:rRNA from 1 species
UGGGGGAAAAUUAGUAUAUAAAAUUAUAAUAAAAAUAAUUUUAAUAAAAUAUGAUGGGGUUAAAGUAUUUUAUAAAGAAAAAAUURUUUAAUUUAUAAAGAAUUAGUAUUGUGAAAGAAAUUUGAAAUAUUUGAAAAUUAAUUAAUUUAAUAGUAAAUUUUAAUUAUUGUAUCUUGUGUAUCAGAGUUUAUUAAUAAAGAUUUUUAUAAAAAAAAAAUUCUCGAAUUUGAAAGAGUUAAUUAGUUAAAAAAAUUAUUGUUGCAAAAAUAUUUUUCAUAAUUAAUUAGAAAUGAAAUGUUAAUCGUUUUYAAAUAUAUCUAGUUUUUUUAGAAAAAAAUUUAAUUUUAAAUUAUUUUAAUUAAAAAUUUAAAUAAUAAAAUUUUUAAAAAAUUAAAUUUAAUAUUUUAAGGGAUAAGCUUUAAUUUAAAUUUUUAUAAUAGUUUUUUUUUAUUAAUUGAAAAUUUUAAAAUUUAUAUUGUUUAAAAAUUAUAAUUUUUUAUAAAUAAUUUCAAAAUAAAAUAAAAUUUAAAAAAUUAAAUUUAAAUUUUUAUAAAAUAAGUAAAAUUUAAUAUUAUAAUUUUAGUUAUAAUGAUAAAAUUAGUAUAUGAAUAUAUAAUAUAAAAAUUAUUAAAUAUGAAUUAGUGGARAAUUAAUUAUAAGGAAUUCGGCAAAUUUUUAUAUUCACUUGUUUAUCAAAAACAUGUCUUUUUGAAAUAAUUUAAAGUCUAAUCUGCCCACUGAUAAAAAUUAAAGGGCUGCAGUAUUUUGACUGUACAAAGGUAGCAUAAUCAUUAGUCUCUUAAUUGGUGACUUGUAUGAAAGAUUGGAUGAGAUAUAAACUGUCUUAUUAUUAUUAAUAAAAUUUAAUUUUUUAGUUAAAAAGCUAAAAUAUUUUUAAAAGACGAGAAGACCCUAUAGAGUUUUAUAUUAAAGUUAAUUAUAAAUUUUUAUAUUAAUGUUAAGUUUGAAUUAAUUUUAAUAUUUUGUUGGGGUGAUAAAAAAAUAAAAUUAACUUUUUUUAUAUUAUAUAUAUAUAUAUAUAUAUAUAACAUUAAUUAAUGAAUAAAUGAUCCAUAAAUUAUGAUUAAAAGAUUAAAUUACCUUAGGGAUAACAGCGUAAUUUUUUUUUUUAGUUCAAAUAAAAAAGAAAGUUUGCGACCUCGAUGUUGGAUUAAGAUAAAAUUUAAAUGCAAAAGUUUAAAAUUUUGAUCUGUUCGAUCAUUAAAAUCUUACAUGAUCUGAGUUCAAACCGGUGUAAGCCAGGUUGGUUUCUAUCUUUAUAUACAUUAAAUAUUUUAGUACGAAAGGAUCAAAUAUUUAAAAUAAUUUUAUUUUAUAAGAAUAUUAYUAAAUGUAUUUGUUUAAAUUAA